rnacentral:rRNA from 1 species
AUUGAACGCUGGCGGCAGGCCUAACACAUGCAAGUCGAGCGAGCGGCGGACGGGUGUGUAAUGUAUGGGGACUGCCCGCUAGAGGGGGCUAACUACUGGAAACGGUAGCUAAUACCGCAUACUAUCGGAUAACCCAUAUUGUAUUAGCUAGUAGGUGAGGUAAUGGCUCACCUAGGCGACGAUCCCUAGCUGGUCUGAGAGGAUGAUCAGCCACAGUGGGACUGAGACACGGCCCAAACCCCUACGGAGGCAGCAGUGGGGAAUAUUGGACAAUGGGCGCAAGCCAGAUGCAGCCAUGCCGCGUGUAUGAAGAAGGCCCUAGGGUUGUAAAGUACUUUCAGUCUGGAGGCGUUACCGACAGAAGAAGCACCGGCUAACUCCGUGCCAGCCGCCGCGGUAAUAC